AACUUCACCUCCAAGUAAACUCCCCCAAAACACUAUUCACUUCAGCAGUUUAAAACUGACAUUUUUCACCGUAGCCCUUCUGAACGUCUGUUUGCGCUCAAAUUUGACAGGCAGGCUCGGUUUUACUUAAUAAGUCUAAAGAAAUUUUAAUUUUUCAGUUUCAACCAUGUUUGGUCACCGAAAGCUGUACCGAACUAUAAUCUUUAUCAGAUAGCAGUCGGAUUUUAUUUUUCACCUUUCGGGUGUCAGAAUGACAUGAAACUUUAAAUAUAGCCUCAUAAAAUUAUUUUUGACAUAUCCUCCAGUUUUCAUAAUUUUCUGACACUGUAUUUUCUGCUAAUUUAUCUGCCCCGUCUCUCACAGAAAAUUCGAAAUUUUCUGUUUUUGCUCCGAUUUCAGCACAGGUCAUUUCCAACUUAUACUUUACACCCUUAAAUCCAAUAAAAAUAGUAUCUCACAAUAUUUUUAUUUAUAUUUAUUUUUAUAUUAAAAAAUCCAGCAUACUACAUCCACCGUAACUUCAUAAUUUUAGAAGUUCGGUACCUUACAACAGAAGUUCGGUACCUGACAACAGAA
rnacentral:lncRNA from 1 species